rnacentral:lncRNA from 1 species
ACGGAGACUAAGAAAGCUGAAAAAGGUGUUGUGGUGAAAUAUAAGGGUAGUUGACUAAAGUGAUAAAGGUAGUUGACUAAAGUGAUAAAGUGAUAAAGUGUAGUAAAUAUAGAAUAUAAAAGUGAAAAAGGUGUUUGAAGGUGGGUCCAUUAGUGGCAAAGGGUAGUAAAUAUAGAAAAAGUAGGAGAGUAAAAGGGUACAAAAAGCAAAACAGGGCAUUAAUUUGUGGACAGUUUUUUAAAGCCAAACAGGGCAU